AACAAACGCUGGCGGCGUGCCUAACACAUGCAAGUCGUGCGAGAAAGUCCCCUUCGGGGGGCGAGUAAAGCGGCGAAAGGGUGAGUAACACGUGGGCAACCUGCCCCUGGGAUCGGGAUAACGUGCCGAAAGGUGCGCUAAUACCGGAUAAGACCACAUGGACGAAUGUCCGAGCGGUAAAAGAUGGCCUCUGCAUGCAAGCUAUUACCUGGGGAUGGACACGCGGCCUAUUAGCAAGUUGGUAGGGUAACGGCCUACCAAGGCGAGGAUGGGUAGCCGGCCUGAGAGGGUGUACGGCCACACUGGAACUGAGACACGGUCCAGACUCCUACGGGAGGCAGCAGUGGGGAAUUUUGCGCAAUGGGGGAAACCCUGACGCAGCAACGCCGCGUGAGUGAUGAAGGCCUUCGGGUCGUAAAGCUCUUUUAGUGGGGAAGAAACGUGCGUGAGUCAACACCUCACGUAUUUGACGGUACCCACAGAAAAAGUUCCGGCUAACUCCGUGCCAGCCGCCGCAGUAAGAC
rnacentral:rRNA from 1 species